rnacentral:lncRNA from 1 species
UGCUUCUUCUUGGUCCCUACGGCGGCUGAUGAGGAUGCCUUCCUCUUCUUCUGCACAUUCUUCCUCCUUAGCACUUCAAGCUCUUCAAGCCUCAUAUUUGCAACAAGCUAGAAUAGGUCAGAAAGAAAAGAGUGGGAGAGAGAAGAUAAGGUGAACAUCAAAAGGCUGCUAAACUAACAUCUGAAGUCAAUCAGGCUGAGACCAGCAUGGAAGAGAGUCUGCUCCGACAGCAGUUCCUAUAAAAAAGAAUCUUAUACUUUCAUAAAAUUUUAGAGUAUUUUGUGUCCUCUCCC